AUAGGAAGUCUUCAGUGACAUUCUUAAGCCCUGAGCAUCUUCCUUAUAUUCUGCUUUAAGAACUUGUUAGUUACUGUACUUGAUAUUCAGUGGCUCUGUGCUUGGAUGUCCUGGUCCCACAGAGGACCUUGAAUACCCUGUCUCAGUUUGGGCCUUACUUACAAGGACCUUCCUCCCUGUCUUAACCAGAUUGUGUUUUAACCUUUAAAAAGUUCGAUGUACUCACUUUUUACUUUUUGUUCAUGGAUAGUGUUUGUCCUUGUGUGUGUGUGUGUGUGUGUGUGUGUGUGUAUCAAUGAGUGAGUGAGUGAAUAUCUGUCAUGCUCUUAAUUUGUUUAAAGGCAGAAAGUACUGUUCUCUUGUUUGCUGUUUUAUCCACUCUGCCUCUACUGGACCUGGCGCAUAAUAAAGAAAGAGUGAACAGGACAAACAUUCAUUCUGAAAAGUAAACUUCUCUGGCAAUUGUGGUUUGUACCUAGCAGCCUGAGAAUAGACAAUUGGCUUUUUAAUGUGAUAAGGGAAAAGGUCAAAAGAAAGUCAUAUUCAUUUACCAAAGUGCUUCCAGCAGAUGAUAUUUAUAAUCUCAAAAGGGCGUUUUUAAUAUAUAACGUGCUUUGAUGGAACAAAUUAUAUAUCCUGAUUGAGGUAGUUGUUAUAUAAAUCUAUAUAUAUGAUAAAGUUUUAUUAAUAGUAAUAGUAUUGUAAAAAAACCAAACAAACAACAAACACUAUGUAAAAACUAGUGAAAUCUGAACGUGGUCUGUAGUUUAUUAAUAGUAAUAGUAUUGUACACAAUGUUAAGUUCAUGCUUUUGAUAAUUGUAUUGUUAUUAUGUAAGAUACGGGAGAAGCUGGGUGAAGGAUACAGGGGAACAUUCUACAAUGUUUGUAUCUUCUAUGUGAAUAUAGAGUUAUUUCAAAAUCAAAAGUUAAAAACAACACAGAGAUACCACUACACACCUGUUAAAAUGAAUAAAAAGCAAACAAACAAAACAGAAACAGAUAAUACCAAGUACUAAUAAAGAUGCAUAGCAACUAGAACUCUCUUACAUUGCUGGUGAGAGUGUAAGAUGAUACAACCACUUUGGAAAAUAGGUGGUUUCUUACAAAGUUAAAUAUGUACCAUAUAAGCUAGUAGUUUCACUCCUAAGUAUUUAUCCAAGAGA